UACAGAGGGGGCCAGCGUUGUCCGGAGUUACUGGGCGUAAAGCGCACGCAGGCGGUCGGCGGCGUAGGUGGUGACAGUCCUCGGCUUACCCGGGGAAGGGCUGCCUAAACGGGUCGACUUGAGGGCCAGAGAGGGACACGGAACUCCGGGUGGAGCGGUGAAAUGCGUAGAGAUCCGGAAGAACACCAAAGGCGAAGGCAGUGUCCUGGCUGGUUCCUGACGCUCAGGUGCGAAAGCUAGGGGAG
rnacentral:rRNA from 1 species